rnacentral:rRNA from 1 species
GACGAACGCUGGCGGCGUGCUUAACACAUGCAAGUCGAACGGAAAGGCCCUGCUUUUGUGGGGUGCUCGAGUGGCGAACGGGUGAGUAACACGUGAGUAACCUGCCCUUGACUUUGGGAUAACUUCAGGAAACUGGGGCUAAUACCGGAUAGGAGCUCCUGCUCCAUGGUGGGGGUUGGAAAGUUUCGGCGGUUGGGGAUGGACUCGCGGCUUAUCAGCUUGUUGGUGGGGUAGUGGCUUACCAAGGCCUUGACGGGUAGCCGGCCUGGGAGGGUGACCGGCCACAUUGGGACUGAGAUACGGCCCAGACUCCUACGGGGGGCAGCAGUGGGGAAUAUUGCACAAUGGGCGGAAGCCUGAUGCAGCAACGCCGCGUGCGGGAUGACGGCCUUCGGGUUGUAAACCGCUUUCGCCUGUGACGAAGCGUGAGUGACGGUAAUGGGUAAAGAAGCACCGGCUAACUACGUG